UACAGAGGGGGCAAGCGUUAUUCGGAAUUAUUGGGCGUAAAGCGCGCGCAGGCGGCUGGAUAAGUCCAGGGGUGAAAUGCCGGAGCUCAACUCCGUGCGUGCCCCGGAUACUGUCUGGCUGGAGACACGUAGAGGCAAGCGGAAUUUCGGGUGUAGCGGUGGAAUGCGUAGAGAUCCGAAAGAACACCGGAGGCGAAGGCGGCUUGCUGGGCGUGAUCUGACGCUGAGGCGCGGAAAGCGUGGGGAGCGAACAGG
rnacentral:rRNA from 1 species